rnacentral:rRNA from 1 species
UACGUAGGGUGCGAGCGUUGUCCGGAAUUAUUGGGCGUAAAGAGCUUGUAGGCGGUCUGUCGCGUCUGCUGUGAAAAUCCGGGGCUCAACCCCGGACUUGCAGUGGGUACGGGCAGACUAGAGUGUGGUAGGGGAGACUGGAAUUCCUGGUGUAGCGGUGAAAUGCGCAGAUAUCAGGAGGAACACCGAUGGCGAAGGCAGGUCUCUGGGCCUUACCUGACGCUCAGGCGCGAAAGCUAGGGGAGCGAACAGG